rnacentral:rRNA from 1 species
CCUGCCUCGAGGCUGGGGACAACAGCGGGAAACUGCUGCUAAUACCCAAUAAGCCGCAAGGUAAAAGAUUUAUCGCCUGGAGAGGGGCUCGCGUCCGAUUAGCUAGUUGGUGGGGUAAGAGCCUACCAAGGCAGCGAUCGGUAGCUGGUCUGAGAGGAUGAGCAGCCACACUGGGACUGAGACACGGCCCAGACUCCUACGGGAGGCAGCAGUGGGGAAUUUUCCGCAAUGGGCGCAAGCCUGACGGAGCAAUACCGCGUGAGGGAGGAAGGCUCUUGGGUUGUAAACCUCUUUUCUGGGGGAAGAAGUUCUGACGGUACCCCAGGAAUCAGCAUCGGCUAACUCCGUGCCAGCAGCCGCGGUAAUACGGAGGAUGCAAGCGUUAUCCGGAAUUAUUGGGCGUAAAGCGUCCGCAGGUGGUCCAUCAAGUCUGCUGUCAAAGACCGGAGCUCAACUCCGGGCAGGCAGUGGAAACUGGUGAACUAGAGUACGGUAGGGGUAGAGGGAAUUCCCAGUGUAGCGGUGAAAUGCGUAGAGAUUGGGAAGAACACCAGUGGCGAAGGCGCUCUACUGGGCCGUAACUGACACUCAGGGACGAAAGCUAGGGGAGCGAAAGGGAUUAGAUACCCCUGUAGUCCUAGCUGUAAACGAUGGAUACUAGGCGUUGCUUGUAUCGACCCGAGCAGUGCCGUAGCUAACGCGUUAAGUAUCCCGCCUGGGGAGUACGCACGCAAGUGUGAAACUCAAAGGAAUUGAC